UAUUGCUCUUCAACGAGGAAUCCCUAGUAAGCGUGAGUCAUCAGCUCACGUUGAUUACGUCCCUGCCCUUUGUACACACCGCCCGUCGCUACUACCGAUUGAAUGGCUUAGUGAGACCCUCGGAUCGACGCGUAGAAACCUUCACGGGUAUCUACUUGUUGAGAAGUUGGUCAAACUUGGUCAUUUAGAGGAAGUAAAAGUCGUAACAAGGUUUCCGUAGGUGAACCUGCGGAAGGAUCAUU
rnacentral:rRNA from 1 species